AGUGGGGAAGGCUGUUGAACUGGUGAUGUCACAAUUUGGGGCUUCUGGGUGGUUCUGCAGAGGCCCCAGGGACCUGUAGGCAGGUGGAGAGGGGAUGGGGGAGGUCUCAGGUCCUCUUGCUCACCCAUCAGCUGUGUAGUGUCUGAAGUGAUUAAGGAGCUUGGGGAGAGCCCUGAAUGGGAAGAAAUGGGUUCCAUGUGCAGCAAGCCAGGAGAGAUUUAGGCAACGAGAACCUCCAGUUCUGUCUUAGGGUUCCCAGCUUUCUCCUUGUCCUGAGGGAGCCGCUGAGCCUGUGGGAGAUGAGGGGUGCCCAUUCCCCAGUGCUUCUCACCCUCCCCCACCUGCCCUCCUGGGGUACCUUUGUCUGCCACUUGCAUCCUAUUGGAAGCUGUCCCCAAGUGCGUGUUAGGCAGGUGGCAGGUGCUGGAGCAGAGUGCACCACCCUCCGGCGAUCACUGUGAGUUGGGGUAAGAGUGGGGUGUUCCUGCCAGCCCCAGGAGAGGGGAAAGCAAGCCCCCGUCCACCCUUGUGGGUCUCUGCUCCUGGAAAAGGUGCUCUAGCAGGCUCAUCUGUGUGAGUCACUGUCUUCCAUGUGGGCCCCUGCCCAUCUGAGCAGCAGAGUUCAUCCCAUACCCUGCAGGGAGUCCAGCGCCACCAUGAUGUCCCUCUCUUCCCUCCUUGAGGCUGGCUGGGUCCAGCCUGAGCUGUGCCACCUGCUGGCUCAGGCCAGUGGGAUUGUGCCUCAGGCAGGCUCCUGCCCUUCCAAGCCAAGGGCUUGGCUGCAGACCCGACAGCGGCUCCCAGAGAAUGCUGGAAGCCAAGCUUGCACAUUCUAGGCAGCCAUUUGGAAGAUUCUUCUCUGCGCAUGACCAGCUGAAAAGGAAAAACCCCGAAACAUUGGCACUGUGAUUUCUCCAUGUGAACAGUUUAGUUCGCCGAGGUGGACAUGCCUCAUUCAUGCUUAUGGAGUGACCGACCAGCCUUUAGUGACACCCCCUGAAAUGUGAGUCAUCCAUGGGUCACUAGUCAUUGGAGAAGAGCCCCUUAUACAAAACUUGGAGCUCAGACCACAAACAACAACAACAAUCCAAAAAAUAAAAAAAUGAAAAAUUAGGAGCAGAGACUAAAUGGAAAGAUGGAAAUAUUAAAAUAAAAAUAUUAUUUUAAAAAUUAAUAUGUA
rnacentral:lncRNA from 1 species